rnacentral:rRNA from 1 species
AUGAACGCUAGCGGUGCGCCUAACACAUGCAAGUCGAGCGAUAUAGCGGCGAACGGGUGAGUAACACGUUGAUAACCUGCCCUGAAGUGAGGGAUAGCCUGCCGAAAGGUGGAUUAAUACCGCAUAGAAAUGGGGGGACAUAAGUCAUUCCCAUUUAAAGUCUUCGGACGCUUUAGGAGGGGUCUGCGCAGUAUCAGUUAGUUGGUAGGGUAACGGCCUACCAAGACUACGACGCUUAGCUGGUCUGAGAGGAUGAUCAGCCACAAUGGAACUGAGACACGGUCCAUACUCCUACGGGAGGCAGCAGUGAGGAAUCUUCCGCAAUGGGCGAAAGCCUGACGGAGCGACACCGCGUGGAGGAUGAAGGCCUUUUGGUUGUAAACUCCUUUUCUGAGGGAAUAAAUGAUGAAGGUACCUCAGGAAUAAGCACCGGCAAACUACGU